rnacentral:rRNA from 1 species
CCUACGGGGGGCAGCAGUGGGGAAUAUUGCACAAUGGGGGAAACCCUGAUGCAGCGACGCCGCGUGAGUGAAGAAGUAAUUCGUUAUGUAAAGCUCUAUCAGCCGGGAAGAAAAUGCCGGUACCUGAGUACGAAGCACCGGCUAAAUACGUGCCAGCAGCCGCGGUAAUACGUAGGGGGCAAGCGUUAUCCGGAUUUACUGGGUGUAAAGGGAGCGUAGACGGCAGUGCAAGUCUGGAGGGAAAGGCGGGGGCUCAACCCCCGGACUGCUCUGGAAACUGUACGGCUUGAGUGGAGGAGAGGUAAGUGGAAUUCCUAGUGUAGCGGUGAAAUGCGUAGAUAUUAGGAGGAACACCAGUGGCGAAGGCGGCUUACUGGACUGUAACUGACGUUGAGGCUCGAAAGCGUGGGGAGCAAACAGGAUUAGAUACCCCAGUAGUC